CUGGGCUUGACAUGCACGGGAAACCCGGUGGAAACAUCGGGCCCUCUUCGGAGUCCGUGCACAGGUGCUGCAUGGCUGUCGUCAGCUCGUGUCGUGAGAUGUUGGGUUAAGUCCCGCAACGAGCGCAACCCUUGUCCCUAGUUACCAGCGGGUAAAGCCGGGAACUCUAGGGAGACUGCCGGUGUCAAACCGGAGGAAGGUAGGGACGACGUCAAGUCAUCAUGGCCCUUACGUCCGGGGCGACACACGUGCUACAAUGGCCGGUACAGAGCGUCGCAAGCUCGCAAGAGCAAGCUAAUCGCCAAAAGCCGGUCUAAGUUCGGAUUGUGGGCUGCGACCCGCCCACAUGAAGCUGGAAUCGCUAGUAAUCGUGGAUCAGCCAUGCCACGGU
rnacentral:rRNA from 1 species